rnacentral:lncRNA from 1 species
CUAAUUUAUAUUUAAGUUUUCAUUAUGGUAACCUAUUAUCAAGAUACUGGCUCAUGCAAUCGAGUAGGGCAAUUGGUUUCAGAUGAUAGGAAAAGGUUCUAAUGAAUUUUCAAAAGGCAAAUCAAACCCCAAAACAUUUGUUAAAUGAAGCCCAGAACAUCUGUUAAAUGAAUUUAUGGCAGGCUCACAACUAGUAGCACUCCAUCACCUCAAUAGGAACAAGUUUAUCUU